CCGGCGAAAUUCUGUCUUUGAGCCGAUUUAUUGCAAUCUGGCAACGUCCUCGCCUUUAUUUCUCGCUGUCACUAUAUUUUCCUAUUAGUCGUCUGCUUCUUGCACGUUUUGAAGUCGAGUGUGACAUUCUGUUCUCGAAGAUCACCGUUACUUGUCUUUCUUUCUGUGAUUUCUGUUCGGUCUUUGUCUCACAAGUUCACCCUGGAACUAUUCUGCCUUGCCUUAUUUCUGUGGUCAAAUAGCCUGUGAGCCAUUUUCUUCUAUUUUCUGCUUCGCAGGCACCAUCGCUAAUACCAUUGCUACGUCAACAUCGUUAUCUCUCAUAGUCAUACUGCCAUUCUGGCAGACAAAUCUUUACUCGCAAUACAUUGAAGAGAAAACCCACUGCCGGCCUAUGCUGAAAUUUAGCUUCUGAACAAUGCUAGUUGUUAUUCUCAACCUGUCUUAUGAACAUGCGUUUAUUUGCUAUCUUCAAUCGAGCUAAUAGUUAAGUUCUGUUUUUAUCUUUUUUAUUUUCAGUCCACGAUUCCUCGGCCAUAAAUACUAUUAGAAGAACUCCUUCGCCACCUGAUUCAACCGAGAAUGCUUUGGAUGGUCCUGUACUGCAAAAUGUGAAGGUUGAACUCCUGGCGUUGCUUGAACUUGUAAUAAACAUCAUCGUUGACUUCAGGUUGGAAUGAUGGAAUGAUGGAAUCACCGCAAAUUUUUUCUCGUGUUUAGUAGCAUUGGGACAUAUGGGAUUGUUGAUGUAUCUCUUUGUUUUUCAAUAUCGGCGAAGAAAAGAACGCAAAGCUUUUCAAAAUUAGUUCCUAUGUUGUAUAUGUUGUCGGUUAUGUUCAUUUUUGGUUGAAACUGUUAAAGGAAGGUUUUGCUACAAAGUGUUCGAUUUUUUAAAUAAUUUUAGUCAGUAAAUCUUAAUAUUUCAUGUCAAUCCUCUUUUUAAAUUGAAAACAACUGCUUCAAA